UUUUCCACCAGAGAGCUGUGACCAAGAAGAGCUGAAACACACAGCACACACCUUAGAAUAACACACACUCUCAUAAACCUGGAUAUUUACACACUGAAUGCCACAAGCCUCUUUAACUGGUUGCUUUAGGGGACGGUCGGAUAUUUUGAGCCGAUGGAACCUAAGAGCUGCAGAUGUUCUUGGGUAUCAUGCUGCAGUGGGGUCAAUAAGAUGAAGGACACGACAGGGACGCUGCCAGCGGACGGAUGUGUGGCGUGCUGUGUCAUUCUGCAGACCACAUCACAUCUGCAGAUCAGACUGAAGCUAAGAAUACUCCAAACACCCGGGUAUUAUAUUAUUUAGUCUCGCGAGAUGUUGGAGAGGCUGCUUCGCGAGAGUCUGUUACGGAUCUCCCGCUUGUGUUUAGAGGAAGAGGAUGAAGCUGAAGCAGAGGAAGACGUGUGCGAGUUAACGGAGGAAGAUCACCCAUGACCUCAAGUUCAGUCCGUUUUCACUCCAAGAUGUCAAAAAGAAAAGUUAAAUAUGGUUUACCAAAACCAACUGACAUCCCAGAGUACGAGAACUCCAGCUCCAGCCUGAAAAAACACGGAGCAGUCCUGCAGCUUGACGUCCUCCCACUGAGAGCGAAGGCCCACACAGAGCAGCGGGUACCAGCCCUCCUGAGCCAUGGCCGUGAAGUAAUCGGUGAAUCCUGCGAAAGACUGGAUCGCUCCUGAGGGCAGGAAAUACGGCAUACAUAUAAACAUACAUAUUAAAAUGAAAAAGAAAAAAUGUUAGAAGCUUACACACCGAUCUGAAAGUAGGAGUAGACGGCCAGGGCUUCGUUCACCAGUCGGUCCCUGCGUGGGUUCCUGGGUUUGAGAUGCAUGAUGUCACUCUCGGCUUUCUCGUAGGCCAGAGACACUGAGGGGAACUGAGACACAACACAUGUCAGAUGGAGAGGGAGACAUGCAGGAUUCACACCUCACCGGGGGAAAGAUGGCGACGGUGCACACUCACGAUGUCCGUAGCGAGCUCGAUGAACAGGAUGGUGAUGCAGCCCAGAGGCAGAGGCACGCUGACCGUGAUGUAGAUGAGGCGAAGUUAUCGUCCAGCAGGAUCAUAUCUGCAGCGUUUUUCGCGGCGUCAGAGCCGGCAAUUCCCAUCGCAAUACCGAUAUCUGCCUUCUUCAGAGCUGGAGAAUCGUUUACUCCGUCUCCUGUUACUGCUACGAUGGAGCCCUGAGAGAGACAGUUACAUACAUCACACUCACCUCAGCUACACACCUUCUUUUAUCCUUUAUUAUAGAUUUUUAUAUGAGUAAGACGAUGUCUAUUGGCUGUGUUUUAUUUGGAUGUAUUUAUUAUAGAGUAUAGUAUAUACUAUAUAUUGAACCAAAGAGAAUAUAUAGCAUGUCAAUCCAUUGUUAUUAAGGUCAUGUAGGAUUGAUGUUGAUUGACAGGUGUGUAGAUACGCCCACUUUUCCUGAUUGGUUGAUAAAAUCAAAGUCUCAGGUUUGUUUGUUUGUUUGUUUUCAGCGUAUUGCAUUCCAUUGUUAUUGCUCUGAGUAUUGAUUACUGAUAAACAGUGUUUAACGUGGUAGUCGGUCUCACCAGACGCUGACAGCUCUCCACGAUGAUGAGCUUCUGCUGAGGAGACGUGCGGGCGAACACCAUCUCCGGGUGAUUCCUCAGAGCUUCGUCUAACUCGUCGCUGGUCAUGUCCUUCAGCUGACCUCCAUUAAUUACACAAGCACGAGCGUCUCUGUGGAACAAAGAAUAACAUCAAAAACCAUAAGGACGGCUGUUCUAUGGGGUUGAGGUCAGGAAAGAGUUCCUUUCACUGGAACUAAGGGGCCGAGUCUAACCCCUGAAAAACAACACCUGAAUUCAAUGAUUUGGAGGGGUGUCCCAAAACUUUUGGCAAUACAGUGUAUGUCCUGUCACACCACCAGCCACUUGCAGCAGAAGAUGCAGAGUGUCCAGUGUGAUUUUCAUAUACGUUUCUAAUCGUCUUCUAAGAAUCUAAUUGUUAUGAAGGGUUCCAAUAAUUUUGAACCUGACUGUAAAGAGAUAUAUGAAGAGUUAUAACAGCUUUACGAAGCGUCAGUCGUGCUUCACCUCUUCUUAACCUGCUCCACAGGGAUGCGCAGUCUGUUGGCGAUAUCCUCCACUGUCUCACUGCCCUCCGAUAUGAUGCCCACGUUCGCAGCGAUCGCCUUCGCUGUGAUGGGAUGGUCGCCAGUAACCAUGACGACCUGCAGAUCAAAGACUGGACUUACUCGGAUGCCGGCCGUACGACAUUUCAUCACAGCAUCAGGAACAGUGGCACGAGGAGGGUCGAUCAUGGAGAUGAGUCCGGCGAAGCAAAGUCCAGACGUGGUGAAGUUCAUUUCAUCUGCAUCGAAGCUGAAACCACGAGGAAACUCCUUCUCAUUCAGUCCUCCCAGAUCCAUGUAGGCAGUCUGGAAGGCCUCUUUCCACUGCUCGUCCAGCGGCAGCUCCUGACCCUUGAUCAGGAUGGUGGAGCAGCGUUCCAGGAUCCUUUCCGGAGCCCCUUUCAUCACCAGCAGGUAGCGCAGGUCCAGCGGGUCCUCCAGCUCAUGUACUGACAGCUGGACACCACAAGGGGUCAACAGUGAGACAGCGGAUUGGGGAAAAGUACUGCAGAUGUGCUGUGUUUGAAACGCUGUGACAGAAACAUGACACUUUGAGGUAUAACUCCACAUGUUCAGGGUAGACAAGGGACCUAAAGGUACCCUAGAGCCUGAGAGCAGAUAGUCAAACAGCUGGAAAGUUAAAGAUUAUUGUGUCUGCAGCUCAUCCUCACGGGCUGGUCAGGGAACAAGUGUUUACAGCUGUGUUAAUGUACUUGAGAAAAGUUAAAAUAACAAAUUGCUGAGGUGGAGGACGGAAAAAACUUCAGCUGCUUUCCUGUGCUUCAUCAUUUUACUGAACCAGCACCACACACACAAUAUAAUAGUUUUGUAUUUGUUUAAAUUAAGGACAAUAUGAGAGCCUUAUAGAACCAUGCUGGGGAAACUGUAUUUUAAAAAUAUUUUUACAAAUUAUUUAUAAUAUCUUUUAGGCCUUGGACGUGUCUAUGGAAAGGGAAUAUGUACCGUUUAUGUUGAUGCAGAUCUGGCAACCCUGACAGACUGAGAUGUCCCAGAUUUGAUCUUAAUCUCACCUGAAACUUGUUGGUGGAAUUGAAGGGAACUUCGCAGAUCUUUUUGAAGCGUGCUCUGUAGUCUAUGAUGUUUCCGAUGGUUAACUCGGUGAACUUUAACAGUGCUGUCUCGGAAGCGUCACCCACCACCACCCUCUGUACACCAGAAAAAAACACACUCUGGUUCUGAACAUGACCCUUAAUCCGCAGACUGAAAGUUUUCUUUUUCCCCUGGUUUCAAUUGAUUUCAAUCAAUUACAUAUUUUCUCUGACGUUUUUCUCACCUUGGGGACCGGCACUGUCUCCUGAUUGGGUUUGAAAAACGCCCGAUUGCACAGACUCGCAACUCGUCCCAGUGAUCUCCACGUCUCUGAGGACUGGUCAAAACUCUGACCUACACAAACACAAACACAGUGAGAUCUUAUUAGGAUCACUCUGGAAUUAUUGGCAAUCCCAAAUGAGGAUGAGGUUCCCUUCUGAGCCUGGUUCCUCUCAAGGUUUCUUCCUCAGAUCAGUGUAGAUCUGACAUAUUGGGAGGUUGUAAUGAAUGUUGUUGAGAUCAGACCCAUCACCUGACUGGUCCUCAGUUGUGUCUGCAGCGUGGAUCAUGUUGUCGAACCACAGGUGAGCCACCGUCAUGCGGUUCUGUGUCAGGGUUCCUGUUUUAUCCGAGCAGAUGACGGACGUAGAGCCCAGAGUCUCCACGGCUUCCAAAUUCUUCACCACGCAGUUCUUUCUGGCCAGACGUUUGGCCGUCAGGGACAGACACACCUUCAGAAAUACACAGGUGACACGGUGAAGCCAGGUAAACCCAGAUCCUACAGCGAAUAUUGUUAUGUAUUCAUGUAGAUAACGGCUUCUAACACUGGCUUACGAUACAAUCCAGCUCUUAUUUGCACUGGUAGCUGUGGAAAUAUUUAGAGGUCAGGUUCACAUAAUGGAGAUUGUGUUGAGGACGUUGUGACUUUGGAGAAAGAAGGUGAGAUAAAACAGUAUGUGAUUUGAAAUAAGAAGGUGAGUUUGAGAAGGUACACGACCUCUACCUCUCCUUAAAAUCCAAAAUGACUAAAAAAUCACUAAAAUUCUUUACACUACACUUUUAAAAUUUAUAUUCUGCCUUUAUUUAUUUUCUGUUAAGCUGCUUUGAAACACUGUGGAAAACUUUAAACAAAUAAAUUGAAUGAAAAAAACAAUGUGCUAAAAAUAAUCAAGGUUUAAGCACCGUACACUGAGGAGAAGGUUAAACGAUCAUUUAAUACGAUUUGACUUCUUUUCUUGGAAUAAAACGCAAGGGACGAGUUUCUGAAGUGAUUAAUUUUCCCUUUUUCAUGCACACUGCAGCGUGACUAGAAAUAUUCAGUUCACACCACCUGAGUAUUCAACACCGACAUGUUUGUGACGUGAUUAACUUAUCUGACACGUUUUUAUUCUCCUAUAAAUGGUCAUUUACGGUCUCGGGGCCAGCAGGGGGCGCCAGAAUUAAAAAAAUAGAUUCACAAAAAACAAACAGAAUUUGCUGAAAAGUGGUUUGUGAUUCACAUGGCGGUCACGUAGUCUUGUGGUGUGAAAUGGAUCUGUGGUGUCGCUAAUAGCUAAAAAAGCAGUUAGUCAUAUCGGAUAACUAAGACAUGAUGGAGAUUAUAAAGAGCUCAUAACUCUUUGGAGUGGAAAAAAUAUUACAAAGCAAGUAAAGAAACCCAAAGAGAGAUGUGAUCUAGAUUAUGAAACGUUUGGCUAACCCAAAGAUUUAUCAGUGAAAAUGAUUUCACGUCAUUUGUACUUACAGUGACAGUAGCUAGAAGUCCCUCAGGCACGUAAGCCACCACGAUAGCCAUGAAGAAGAUCAUGGCCUCUAAGAAGGCGUAACCGAUAAACAUGGCGACUACGAAGAAGGUGAAGCCGAAGAAGAUGGCCAGGCCGGCGAUGAUGUCCACAAAAUGUUCAAUCUCGAUGGCGAUAGGGGUUUUCUCAUUGCCGACUCCCGAGGCCAGGCUGGCGAUGCGUCCGAUGAUGGUGCGGUCACCGGUGUUGAUGAUGAUCCCUGUAGCUACACCUGUCCAGGCAGACCAGACAAUCCGUCAUCCGUGGCUGUGAAUCAGUUGAUAAGCAGCUUCCAGUAUCCCAGACCCUGUACCAGUGCUGCUUACACACCUUACAGCCCUGCGAUGUGAUGAUACGGACAUCGGCCGGAACCCUGUCUCCUCCUUUAAUCUCCACCAGGUCCCCCACCACCAGCAGGUUGGCGUUGAUCUGGGUCUUCUGGCCGUCCCGGAUCACCGUGGCUUGCUGGAGGGAGGAAAAAAACACACAUUAGCUGGCGAUUUCACCCUUCGCACACUCGAUACCGAAAGCGAUGAAGCAGAUGACGGCGGCGACCCACAUCAGACACUGCAGACCUCCAGCCAGCUGACGGGCGAACUUCACAUACUCGGGGGUCCCUUUGGGGGGCUUCAGCUCAUUGGGGCCAUCACGCUCCAGGACUUGCUCCGCCAACCUCGAGCUCAGACCCUAUGACAGAUCAUAUACAGGAGGAAGUCAGGAAGUGGGAGAAGUUCUACAGUCUUCACUCAGGCGGGAAAGCUGGACGUGUGGAAGAUCCUGAGACAUGAUCCAGAGCAACAUGCUGACCAGGAGGCAUGACGUGUGAGAUAUACCGACACACUGAGGACAAAUAACUCCACUGAGAGACGGUAGACGGUAGAACAUUCAUACGGUGGCCGAGAAGUGCAGAACACAACAUCAAAUCC